AUUGAACGCUGGCGGCAUGCCUUACACAUGCAAGUCGAACGGCAGCACGGGGGCAACCCUGGUGGCGAGUGGCGUACGGGUGAGUAAUGCAUCGGAACGUGUCCUCUUGUGGGGGAUAACCAGUCGAAAGACUGGCUAAUACCGCAUGAGCUCGAGAGAGGAAAGCGGGGGACCGCAAGGCCUCGCGCGAGAGGAGCGGCCGAUGUCCGAUUAGCUAGGUGGCGGGGUAACGGCCCACCAAGGCGACGAUCGGUAGCUGGUCUGAGAGGACGACCAGCCACACUGGGACUGAGACACGGCCCAGACUCCUACGGGAGGCAGCAGUGGGGAAUUUUGGACAAUGGGCGCAAGCCUGAUCCAGCCAUGCCGCGUGUGUGAAGAAGGCCUUCGGGUUGUAAAGCACUUUCGGGCGGAACGAAAUCGCGCGGAUGAACAAUCCGCGUGGAUGACGGUACCGCAAGAAGAAGCACCGGCUAACUACGUGCCAGCCGCCGCCGUAA
rnacentral:rRNA from 1 species